AUUAAUUAUGUUUAGUUUAAAUAAAUAAAUAAGCUAAAUAAAAAGAAAACAUAACUUGAAAAAUGGAAAGAAAAGAAUAAAUACAUAAAAUAAACGCCGCCUUUGCUGAGCUCUGUUAUUUCCACAGAGCAAUUUACUUCUUCGGCCGCUGUCUCUCUCUCCCCUCAUCGAAGGAAAUCAAACAAGCCAUAGCUUAUGAUCCAAAAAUGAAUCAAGACCCACCAUCAGAAAUCGUCACAGAUAUCCUUUUGAGACUUCCUCUUGAAAACGUUGCAAUUUGCAAAUGCGUUUGCAAACCAUGGCUCAAUGCGGCGGAGACUGACGAUUUUGUCGAGUCUCAUUUUUCUAAAUCUGCUCCCGCCAUAGUUGUCUCGAUGCCGGGUACGUAUUCAAAUUGGUUCAGUGUUUUCAAAUUGGAAGACGAGCACAAGCAUGAGCACAAACACGAUCCCAUCAUCAAGUUUGAUUUCCCGCAAGCAUGAACAAUACAGGGUUCUGCCAAUGGCUUACUUCUUCUGAAGAAUCCCUUUAUUGAUCAUCUCUACGUGUGUAAUCCGAUCACCCGUGAAUAUGUUGAGCUCCAUGGGCCCCACACUCGCCCGCGGGGUGACUGUUAUGGAUUUCGAGUUGGCAAAAUAAGCGGACAGCAUACGGUUGUCUAUCUGAAUCCUAAAUCCGGAUGUCAUGUGCACACUCUUGAAACAGGAUCCUCGUGGAGACGCGUUGAAGCUGUCCCCUCGUUCGACCACUGCGACAAAUCUGUUGGUGCAUUUGUUAAUGGCAAUCUCCACUGGUUAGUUUCAAAUGGGCAGGAGCGUGCUUAUAUUUGUUGUUUUGAUGUUGAGACGGAAUGUUUUAGCACCUUCUCUGCACCGGCUACAAGUUCCUGGGGAGAGUUGUAUGUUUUAGGGGAUUGCUUGAGUUUUUGUGAUAUUGAACCAUAUGAAGAUGAUAAUGUGAUCUGGUUGUUGAAGGAAAAUAUGAACAGGCCGAGAAACGAAACGAUGGAGCGAAGUACAUUUUAUCUUGCAAGAAGAAGCUUAUUAUGGUUACAGUGUCUACAAUCACAAUCAUUUUCAGCUUAUCAAAAUUUACACAAAUGGUGACAUGUUAAUUUUAUGGGAUGAGAAACUCUUUACAUACUACUGCAACAAGGAGAGAACUGUUAGAGAAAUUGGUUUGUUUGGUAAAAUGGAUGAUGAUUGUUUGUAUAUCAACUCCAUUCUUCUCACUCCAAGUUUUCUCUCACUCAAACGAAGUUUGGGUAUGGAAAAUGUAAUGUCAUUUUAGUUUGAACAUGUAUUUUCUUUGCUAGUAUUUGGUGUUGUUAUUUACUUAUGUCACUGUUUAAAAAUCAUUUUGCUAUAAUUAGUUGUUUGCUGAAUUACA